AGCGAACGCUGGCGGCAGGCCUAACACAUGCAAGUCGAACGAACCCUUCGGGGUUAGUGGCGGACGGGUGAGUAACACGUGGGAACGUGCCUUUAGGUUCGGAAUAACUCAGGGAAACUUGUGCUAAUACCGAAUGUGCCCUUCGGGGGAAAGAUUUAUCGCCUUUAGAGCGGCCCGCGUCUGAUUAGCUAGUUGGUGAGGUAAAGGCUCACCAAGGCUACGAUCAGUAGCUGGUCUGAGAGGAUGACCAGCCACAUUGGGACUGAGACACGGCCCAAACUCCUACGGGAGGCAGCAGUGGGGAAUCUUGCGCAAUGGGCGAAAGCCUGACGCAGCCAUGCCGCGUGGAUGAUGAAGGUCUUAGGAUUGUAAAAUCCUUUCACCGGUGAAGAUAAUGACCGUAGCCGGAGAAGAAGCCCCGGCUAACUUCGUGCCAGCAGCCGCCGCCGUAA
rnacentral:rRNA from 1 species